GGCACAUGAGGAGUUUGUGGUGAAUGCAUCAGUGGGAGGAAGAAAGGCAUGAAAUGAAGAAUCGACAUGAUUGUGGUGCCUGGAGCCAGAGAGUUAGCUGCUGGUUCCAGCUCUGGUAUUAACUGAGGGUGUGAUCUGAGAGGAGAAAGCUGAAGCACCAGACGGUUAAAAGGACUGUUCAAGAGAGCCUCGCAAUUUUGACCAAGGAAGAAAGCUGAAGGGUGCUAGAGCAAGAGAGGAACUAUGUCCAGAACAAUUCAUAAUUCCAAAUUCUCACUUCCAUGAUUUCAAUGCUGAAUGUGUACUUCUCUAGCUAAAAAUACAAUUGCUUAAGUAAAAUCAUCAUUAUUUACAGUCUU